GAUGAACGCUGGCGGCGUGCCUAAUACGUGCAAGUCGAGCGAACAGACGAGGAGCUUGCUCCUCUGACGUUAGCGGCGGACGGGUGAGUAACACGUGGAUAACCUACCUAUAAGACUGGGAUAACUUCGGGAAACCGGAGCUAAUACCGGAUAAUAUAUUGAACCGCAUGGUUCAAUAGUGAAAGACGGUUUUGCUGUCACUUAUAGAUGGAUCCGCGCCGCAUUAGCUAGUUGGUAAGGUAACGGCUUACCAAGGCAACGAUGCGUAGCCGACCUGAGAGGGUGAUCGGCCACACUGGAACUGAGACACGGUCCAGACUCCUACGGGAGGCAGCAGUAGGGAAUCUUCCGCAAUGGGCGAAAGCCUGACGGAGCAACGCCGCGUGAGUGAUGAAGGUCUUCGGAUCGUAAAACUCUGUUAUUAGGGAAGAACAAAUGUGUAAGUAACUAUGCACGUCUUGACGGUACCUAAUCAGAAAGCCACGGCUAACUACGU
rnacentral:rRNA from 1 species